CUUUUAAAAUAUGUAUUUGUCAUGUAUUGUCGUAAUUUUUCAGUGGAACAUUCCGGCGGGCACAAGCGAGAAUGGAAGAGUCCAUUGUGACCAGAGGAAGGGGGAUUAAUAUAUUCAGAAGACUUGCUUAAGAUAAACUGAUAGAGCAAACACGUUAUAUGCUGUUUUAUAACUUAUGUAUUUUCAUAAUGAUGUGUAACACAAAAAAAAUAAUUCUAUUUAUUGCAUUUUUGGGAUACCCUUUGAGAAUUUUCAUAUUGUGACCGACCCAGCGCCAUCUUGUCACAUUUGCGUGGUACAUCUGAUGAACCAGAACAUGACGAGGACGAACAGGAAAAACAAAUUAGGAAUAUAAUAUUCGGUGGACAAGAUAAAAGAAGGUCAUAAGAGAAGAUACCAGAGCUUCAUCCAUCGUGGAUGUUUAUCCAGAGAAUUGCAUCAUGUGCUUGGAGAAAUGCAUAUAGUCCUUGCUCCCCACAAUGAUGAAUUCUUCGAGGAAGUCAAAAUGAGAUGGGAGGAUUGCUGCGCCAGGGUCAUUUUACGGAGUAUGAAAGAAGGCAAUAAAGCCACCAAUUAACAGGGAUAAAAUGGAAGCCAACUUUGCUCUGGUGAAGGCCCUUCCCAUUCUCUUUCCCUCGGUGGCACCUCCAUCAAAGAAACUGGGAUGUUCUAGUGAAGCUUUACUGCAUGUUCAGGAGUCAAUAGAAGAUCCUUCAUCCAGAAGAGAGGCCUGUCAAGUCCAGUCUUGGUGUUCGAUGGCAGCAGAUGAAUCGUUGCUAUUGGUUUGAUGCCAGUUACGUUUGAAAAAGAAAAGCUUCACCAGGGUCUGAUUUUCUAAAUGGCAUAUUAUUACACACUACAUCUGACCUACACAAAAUGCGUGGCCACCCUUCUGUCAUUCAGACAGAGAUCCUUCAGGAUCCUAUUCACAAGCGGGACAGCACCACCAUGAAAGAACAUUAAAGUAAAGAAUUUGUUGGAAGAUUAACUGCUUUUGCAGUUUAAUGUUUAUGUCUGUUCUUUAGAUGAGUAUUCUAAUUGUGUUGUUAAAGAAACUUGUAUUCCUAGAAAAUUUGGGUACAUUUGUAACACAAAUCUAAGUUUGUAAGUUGAAUAAAAGAAUCGAAAAGUGAAUUUGUUUUCAUUCUUUUUAGUAUUGAAACAAGAAAAAAUAUCUUUUGCAACUGCUUGUUUCAAGAUUUAUUUUCUGAAUUUUAGUGGGCAAUACAUUUUAAUCAAGCUCCUAUAUCCUAGUUUUUAGUUUUUUUGUCUUAAAUUAAUGCUUAAAAUAAGUGUUUUUUGCCUAAUUUCAAGAUUUAACCAAUUUACUAUGGCUUAGAUAUUUUUACUUAAAUCAAGACAUCUUGUUAAGUAAAAUUUACUAGCUGCACUGGCAGAUAAUUUGACUUAUUUCUAGUCAAUUUCUACUAAAAACAAGUACUUUUUUCUAGAAUU
rnacentral:lncRNA from 1 species